rnacentral:rRNA from 1 species
AUUGAACGCUGGCGGCAGGCCUAACACAUGCAAGUCGAACGAGUGGCGGACGGGUGAGUAAUGUCUGGGAAACUGCCUGAUGGAGGGGGAUCACUACUGGAAACUGUAGCUAAUACCGCAUACCAUCAGAUGUGCCCAGAUGGGAUUGGCUUGGUGGGGGGGAACCGGCUCACCAAGGCGACGAUCCCUCGCUGGUCUGAGAGGAUGACCAGCCACACUGGAACUGAGACACGGGCCAGACUCAUACGUGAGGCAGCAGUGGGGAAUAUUGCACAAUGGGCGCAAGCCUGAUGCAGCCAUGCCGCGUGUAUGAAGAAGGCCUUCGGGUUGUAAAGUACUUUCAGCGGGGAGGCGUUACCCGCAGAAGAAGCACCGGCUAACUCCGUGCCAGCCGCCGCGGUAAUAC